UGAGAUUCUCCAAGUCUUUCAGUGUCUUCAUUUAUUAGCAGGUAACCGUUCAGAUCGGAUCUCCCCAAGGUAAGAUGCGGUCGAUUCAUGGAGACUCGAUCAUACGAUUCUUUUGAGUUUGCCUUUUGCCGAGAGCUUCAAAUUGUUGUCUCAAAUUGCUCGUGUUAUAUUGCUCGCCGAUUUAUAGGAAUUCCUAUUUGUAGAACACCUCACCCUUCAUGAUCACCACCCGUUCGAUGUUUUGCCUCAGAGAUGCUAAUGACGAAUUUGUCUUCAUCAUCGAUCAAUCUGAGAUUGCAUAGCGUGAUCUGGAUGUUCUUGUUCGACAUGCUGAUCAUAUAUUGUGAAUUUUCAUGCUUCAUCCUUUGAUGGCACAGAGUUCUCUUUCCCUUGGUGCUUCAGUUUACUUUGUCUCCUUCGGUUGUGUGACUGAAUUGUUGUCUGGUAUAACAGUAAGUCACUAUACAUUGGUGGUUAAUAAAUCACAGCAAAGCUAUAUCAAGUUCAAUGUCGUUUUGAUGCUCAUAAAAGACCAUUCCACCAAAGCUCGAGAAAGAGAGUCCUCAACCUAAUUUAAAUUCCAAUUCAAAAUCUAUAGUUUCUACUUUCCCUUUUGAUAUUAAGAAGAGCAGUGCACUAGACCAAAAUUUGGUGAUAGCAACUUGGAAUUUUCUUUGCGGGAUUUCGGUGCAUAGACUUAAUUCUUACUGGCUCGUAAAUCCGAAAAUUCUCAAUAUGAAUAUUAGUAUCUUUUGGCUUGAUCAACACGAAAAUAUGAGAGAGCAAGCUUGCUUCAUGUCAUGGGGUGUGUUUGAUUGAUACCUUCCAUGACUAUGAUAAUGACGUAUUCUUGGAAAGUCAAUUCAAUAGUUAUUUUAUGAGUGGAGUGAAUAGAUGAUAUAUAAGGAUUAUCCAUCUGUUAGUUUUACAAAUGAGACGGUAUAUUAUGUUUUCUCAAUUUAAACAGGAGAAGUUAGAUAAAAAGGUAUUUUGGUUUUAUAAUGUACCAUUAGUUCUUGAAUUUUUUUAUAGCCGAUUGAGAUCUUAAAACAACCUAAUUUUAUUUUAACUCCUAUACAACUGUGGUAUUCUAUCCUCUCAUCUUCUUCAAAGAGUUUAUUUUCAUGUUGUGAUUUUUGUUUCACGCUCAAUCAAAGGCUAGGGCACAAUUACAAGGAGAUAAAGGAGUGCCACGAAGGAAAUGAUGAUCAAUGAGGCAGAAAGCGAGGGUGAUAGUCUCUUUGGACUGCUCUGUUUUGUCCAAAAUUCCACGAGGUAAGAAUGGAACAAGAUCAUCCAUGAAUUUCGAAUAAUGGCUUGGGUGUAGAGCGAGAGUAUAGAGCUUCCAUAGCCAUUGACAGCUGCGAGAACGAGAUUAUCUCCCACUGCCAGUGCUUGUCCCUUCUCUAUUUCGUCUGAAGAAACCCCACUGCUUGAUGUCCACCAGGUUUUUGUGAUUUUGCCUAACUGAAUCCAGCUUUAAGCGCCCUCUACUCCCAAAAAAAAAAAGAAAAACCAAACCUGUUGUUUAAUUUACCGUUUUAAAUGUUUUGACUACUAGUUUUUUGAAGUUUGUUCUAUUUGUUUUGUUUAGUAUUUUUAUGUAGCAGCUUGUUUCAAAGCAAAGUGACAUUCAAUCUACUAUAUCGAUGCUCAGGUCAAUUUAGAUGGAUCAGGAUAUUCUAUAUACACAAAAUUUCGUGUAAAGAUUUUCUGGAGGAUUGCUGCUAUCCCUCGGUGUAAUGCCAGAAUAAAACCGGCGUAAUGUGAUCAUGUCUUGUAGACUUCUUGUCCUGGAUGAGAAUUUUUCUUAUUGUGCUUGGGAGGCAGAGUCUAUUUUCAUCUCAUGCCGUUGGUACAUAUCCACUAGCAUCUAUUUCUUUUUCUUCCCAAACCUUGUUCGCUUUAUAAUUGAUAUAGGAAGGACUUAUGUUAUCACAGAUUUAAAAGUACCAACUAUGAAAGUUGAAGUUAACUCUUGAAAAUACUGCUUAGUGGAGGACUCUAACUGAGCCUAACAAAUAGCAAGAGAGACAACAGAGCAUGGGGGCAAGUUUCUGUUUGAAUUUGGAAAGUGAAGUUCUUGUUAUAUACUAUUUGAGAAG
rnacentral:lncRNA from 1 species